UGGGGAAUUUUGGACAAUGGGCGAAAGCCUGAUCCAGCAAUGCCGCGUGUGUGAAGAAGGCCUUCGGGUUGUAAAGCACUUUUGUCCGGAAAGAAAUCCUCUGGGUUAAUACCUCGGGGGGAUGACGGUACCGGAAGAAUAAGCACCGGCUAACUACGUGCCAGCAGCCGCGGUAAUACGUAGGGUGCAAGCGUUAAUCGGAAUUACUGGGCGUAAAGCGUGCGCAGGCGGUUUUGUAAGACGGAUGUGAAAUCCCCGGGCUUAACCUGGGAACUGCAUUCGUGACUGCAAGGCUAGAGUAUGGCAGAGGGGGGUAGAAUUCCACGUGUAGCAGUGAAAUGCGUAGAGAUGUGGAGGAAUACCGAUGGCGAAGGCAGCCCCCUGGGCCAAUACUGACGCUCAUGCACGAAAGCGUGGGGAGCAAAACAGGAUUAGAUACCCUGGUAGUCCACGCCCUAAACGAUGUCAACUAGUUGUUGGGGAUUCAUUUCCUUAGUAACGUAGCUAACGCGUGAAGUUGACCGCCUGGGGAGUACGGUCGCAAGAUUAAAACUUAAAGGAAUUGACGGGUCAUAGCUGUUUCCU
rnacentral:rRNA from 1 species